rnacentral:rRNA from 1 species
CCCUUAGAUGUUCGGGGCCGCACGCGCGCUACACUGAAGGAAUCAGCACGUCUUUCUCCUUGUCCGAAAGGACUGGGUAACCCGCUGAACCUCCUUCGUGCUAGGGAUUGGGGCUUGUAAUUCUUCCCCAUGAACGAGGAAUUCCCAGUAAGCGCGAGUCAUAAGCUCGCGUUGAUUACGUCCCUGCCCUUUGUACACACCGCCUGUCGCUACUACCGAUUGGAUGGUUUAGUGAGAUCCUCGGAUUGGUCCCGGAGCGGCCUCUGGUCGUGCCGGAGUGCCGAAAAGAAUGUCGAACUUGAUCAUCUAGAGGAAGUAAAAGUCGUAACA